CAUCCUCGUAACGCCGCGCUGGGCAUGCACCGCCAUCGGACAUAGUGAGAAAGCCGUGCGGAAGAAGCAUACUCUUCACGACCACAUUUUUCGCGUGACCGUUGGAUUGUACCCGUUCCAGAUAACAAAAAAUUAAUGCAUGGUAUUGCAUGCAAACGUACGUACGCUGUGAGAAAUUAUUCACCGUGGAUUAUUAAUAAAUUUUUUUCCUUUGAUUACCGUAUAAUAACAACACGGCUACCUAUAAUUCCUACCCCA
rnacentral:lncRNA from 1 species